CCCUUAGAUGUUCUGGGCCGCACGCGCGCUACACUGAAUGGAUCAACGUGUUUUCCCUUCCCGAGAGGGACGGGUAACCCGCUGAACCCCAUUCGUGGUAGGGAUCGGAGCUUGCAAUUGUUCUCCGUGAACCAGGAAUUCCCAGUAAGCGCAAGUCAUAAGCUUGCGUUGAUUACGUCCCUGCCCUUUGUACACACCGCCCGUCGCUACUACCGAUUGAACGUUUUAGUGAGGUAUUUGGACUGGACCUUCGGAGGUUCGCGCCUCCGUUGCUGUUCGGGAAGACUCCCAAACUUGAUUAAACCAUAUCAUUUAGAGGAAGGUGAAGUCGUAACA
rnacentral:rRNA from 1 species